rnacentral:lncRNA from 1 species
GAAACUCUUAUCACUCUUCAGUUCUGUCUGAGACCUGAGAUGGAGGAGGAUGAUCAGUCCAGUUUGGGAAAGUUGCAGGGUUCUUUUCCUCUUUGCCCUAGAAACAGGAACCCUUAGGGAAAAUGGCACCCAUUGUCCUCAGAGAGUUGACAAAUAUUCCGGUCAAAGGAGGGACGAAGCUUUGCAAGUUGGAAGUGAUUCACCUAACCACCAGAAAUCCUGCAUCACAUUGAUGUUGACGGACAAUUGCAACUCUAGGG